rnacentral:rRNA from 1 species
UCCCAGCGGUCCGAGUCGCAGCCACAAUUAUUGGGUCUAAAACAUCCGUAGCUCGCUUUGUAAGUCUUUUGUGAAAUCGGGACUCUUAAGGUUCCGGCGAGCAAAAGAUACUGCUUAGCUAGAGACCGGUAGACGUAACGAGUACGAACAGGGUAGCGGUAAAAUGUGUUGAUCCUAUUCGGACUAACAACAGCGAAGGCACGUUACGAGCACGGUUCUGACAGUGAGGGAUGAAGGCUAGGGGCGCAAAGUG